rnacentral:rRNA from 1 species
GUGGGGAAUCUUCCGCAAUGGGCGAAAGCCUGACGGAGCAACGCCGCGUGAUCGAAUGAAGGCCUUCGGGUCGUAAAGAUCUGUUGACAGGGACGAAUAAGCCAUGCGAACAGUUUGGUGUAUGACGGUACCUGUUUAGAAAGCUCCGGCUAACUACGUGCCAGCAGCCGCGGUAAUACGUAGGGAGCAAGCGUUGUCCGGAAUUACUGGGCGUAAAGGGCGCGUAGGUGGGCGCUUAAGUCAGGUGUGAAAACUCCGGGCUCAACCUGGAGACUGCACUUGAAACUGGGUGUCUUGAGGGCAGGAGAGGAAAGUGGAAUUCCUAGUGUAGCGGUGAAAUGCGUAGAUAUUAGGAGGAACACCAGUGGCGAAGGCGACUUUCUGGACUGUACCUGACGCUGAGGCGCGAAAGCGUGGGUAGCGAACGGGA